AAGUCGUAACAAGGUUUCCGUAGGUGAACCUGCGGAAGGAUCAUUAAUAAAUGCUUCAUUGCAUCCACCUUUUGUGCACCGUAAAUAUUUUCUACCUUAAAUUUUGUCUGAUAAAUCCUUGUUUCGAAAGAAACAUUGUGAAAAUUGGAAUACAACUUUUAACAAUGGAUCUCUUGGCUCUC
rnacentral:misc_RNA from 1 species